ensembl:lncRNA
AUGAGUUUCAAAAACUGUACCCUCUGUUCUGAAACAAAUGUGUCAGCAAUAUUGUUAUCACUUCAAAAAGAAAGUCUUUUCUGUUUUUCAUCUCAGAGAUUUCAAAUCUUCUUGAAAUUUCAACUGCAAUGUUUUAAAUUCAGUAGUCAAGAUUUCAUUGAAGGAAAACGGAUACAUACAAAAAGGAUCUAGUUUGAGGUACUGAGAAGGAUAAGACACCAGUUUGAAAACAGCCUCUAUCAGAGUAGCAUGAGUUCUGCUAAAAUUGAAGCAAGAGCAAACAUCAAAUUUAUGGUGAAGCUUGGAUGAAAGAAUGGUGAAAUUAUCAAUGCAUUAUGAAAAGUUUAUGGGGUCAAUGUGUCAGAGAAAUCAGCAGUUUAGAAAUGAAUAACUCAUUUUAUGAAGGAACAAGACAAUGUCAAAGACGAAGGCUACAGAGUCAGACCAUCCACAUCAAUUUCUGAGGAAAAAGUUCAUCUUGUUCACACUUUAUUGAAGAGGACUGAUGGUUAACAGCACGAACAGUAGCCAACGCCACACACAUCUCAACUGGUUCGGCUUACACAAUUCUGACUGAAAAGUUAAAGUUGAGCAAACUUUCCAUUAAAUAAGUGCCAAAGUCUUUGCACCCAGAUCAGCUACAAACCAAGUGCCAUAACUUUGUAAACAAGUGGGAUCAAGGUUCUGAGGCAUGUCUUUGAAGAAUUGUAACAGGACAUAAAACAUGACUUUAAUAGUACAAUCCUGAAAGCAAAGCAUGGUCAAAGCAAUGGUUACCAAGAGGUGGAAAUGGUCUAAUCAAAGCAAAAGUGGACCAGUCAAGAGUACGGGUCAUGGAAAUGUUUUUUUUUUUUUUAGAAUGCUCAAGGCAUUUUGUUUGUUGAUUUUCUAGACAGUCAAAGAACAAUAAUGUGAGAGUCUUUUGAGAAAGUUUAUCAUGAGAGUGUUUUGUGAAAGUUAGCCAAAGCUCUAGCAGACAAAUGCUCGGGAAAGCUUCACCAGAGAGUCCUUGUCCAACAUGACAAUGUUCCUGCUCACUUCUCUCAUCAAACAAGAACAACUUUGUGAAAGUUUCCAUGGAAAUCAUUAGGAAUCCAACUUACAGUUCUAAUUUUUCUCCUUUUAACUUCUUUUUGUUUUCUAUCCUUAAAAAAUCUGUAGAGGGUACCCAUUUUUCCUCCAUUAAUAAUAUAAAAAGAAUGCAUUGGUAUGUUUCAGUUCCCAGGACCCUCAGUUCUUUAGAGAUGGACUAAAUAUCCGGUUUCAUUGCUUACAGCAAUUCCUUGGAUACAGAGUAUAUUGAGAAAUAAAGUUCAUAUUUUUAAGGUUUUUUUUUUCUUUUAUUUAUUUAUUUGACAGAGUCUUGCUCUGUCACCCAGGCUGGAGUGCAGAUAAUCUCAGCUUACUACAACCUCUGCCUCUCAGCUUCAAGUGAUUCCAGUGCCUCAGCCACCCAAGUAGCUGGGAUUACAGGUAUUUGCCACCAUGCCUGGCUAAUUUUUAUAUUUUCUGUGUAUAAUGAGGUUUGCCAUGUUGGCCAGGCUGGUCUUGAACUCCUGAUCUCAAGUAAUGUGCCUGCCUUGGCCUCCCAAAGUUCUACGAUUACAAGCAUAAGCCACUAUACCUGGCCCAUAUUUAUUUUUAGUUUUUAAUUCCAUUUUCCCACAAACUUUUUGAAAUCUCCUUUUUUUUCUCAUUGAGACAGAGUUUUACUGUUGGUUCCCAAGCUAGAAUGCAAGGCUUGAUCUCAGCUCACUGCAAACUCUACCUCAUGGAUUCAAGUGAUUCUCCUGCCUCAGAAGAAAGCUACUCCUUCCCAAGUAGCUGGGAUUACAGGCACCUGCCACCAUGCCCGGAAAAUUUUUUGUAUUUUUAGUAGAAAUGGGGUUUCACCAUGUUACCCAUGCUGGUCUCGAACUCCUGAUCUCACAUGAUCUGUCCCCCCAACACCCCCACCUCUCAAAGUGCUAGGAUUACAGGUGUGAGCCAUCAUGUCCGGCUGAAGUCCUCUAUGUAAAGAAAAGACAUACAUAUGUAGAAGACUGUCAGUAAAUAUUAGUUCAUUUUAUUUGUUAUCUUUUCUUCUCUCAGCUUCCCCCACUCCCUGGACAAUUGUUACCAGUUGCUGCUAUUGUCAUACAUCUCCUUAACCUAAAAUGUUUCAAUUAAGCAGUCACGUCUUUUCACAAAUAGCUUUCAGGACCAUGGAGAGAUCUCAUUUUCCCUUUCCCCAAAAUACAUUAGUUCUGCUGUGCCAGGGGUUAGUAUAUUGAUGAUUAAGUAAAUAUAUUCCGAGGACCUAUAUAGGCACUAUGUUAAGUUAUGGAGAAACAGCAUUUUACAAAAUAGAUAAGUCUCAAAACUUAUGAUACUUUAAUCCAGUGAUGAAAUAGACAUUAAAUGAAGCAGUUGACUCCUACCACUACCCAUCAAAAGAAAGCCACACACACAACUACCAAGUAGAUAGGUAAGAUGAACAAAAUGUAUAAAGUUCUAUAAGAGGAAUUCUUACCUAAUCUUGUGGGUUUCAGGCAGGAACUUGAAAUAAACAACUGUCCUGAGAGGUGACAGUUUUGCUGAGAUCUCAGGGAUGAAUAAGAAAUAACAAUUAUGCCAGGCAUGGUGACUCAUGACUGCAAUCUCAGCACUUUGGAAGGCUGAGGAGGGAGGAUCUCUUGAGCCCAAGGCUAGCUGAGACUAGCCUAGGCAACAAAGUGAGAUGCCCAUUUCUAUAAAACAUAAAAAAUAAAAUAAUAGCUGAGCACAGCCAUCCAAGCCUUUAGUUCCAGCUACUUGGGAAGCUGAGACAGGAGGAUCACUUGCGUUCAGGCAUUUGAGGUUGCAGUGAGCCAUGUUUACACCAUUACACUCCAGCCAAGGUGACAUGAGAUCCUGCCUUGGAGGAGAACAAGAGGAAGAAGAAAGAAGAAAGAAGAAGAAGGAAGAAGAAGGAGGAGGAGAGGGAGGAGAAAUAAUUGUGCAAAGAGAAUGAUUAAAGAAUGCUCUUAGCUGGGCAUAGUGGCUCAUGCCAAUAAUCCCAGCACUUUGGGAGGCUGAGGCAGGUGGAUCAGCUGAGGUCAGUUUAAGACCAGCCUGGCCAACAUGGUGAGACCCUGUGUCUACUAAAAAUACAAAAUUAGCUGGGUGUGGUGGCACACACCUGUAAUCCCAGCUAUUCAGGAGGCAAGACUGGAGAAUUGCUUGAACCCAGGAGGUAGAGAUUAUAGUGAGCUGGGAUUGUGCCAUUGCACUUCAGCCUGAAUGACAAGAGUGAAGCUCUGUAUAUAAAAAAAGUGCUCCUGAAAAAGAAUUAUCUGUUAAUUUUUUUUCAAAGACCAGUGCAGCUAGACACAGUGGUGCUCACCUAUAGUUCCAGCUACUUGGGAGGUUGAGGUGAGAAGAUUGCUUGACCCCAGAAGUUUGAGAGCAGCACAAGCAACAUCGUGAGAUCCCAUCUUUAUAUAAGAAACAAACGAGACCAGUGCAACUAGUGCAGACUGAUGAAGAAGUAGCACAAUGGAAGAUGAG